rnacentral:rRNA from 1 species
CGGGGAAUUUUGGACAAUGGGCGAAAGCCUGAUCCAGCAAUGCCGCGUGUGUGAAGAAGGCCUUCGGGUUGUAAAGCACUUUUGUCCGGAAAGAAAUCCUUGGCUCUAAUACAGUCGGGGGAUGACGGUACCGGAAGAAUAAGCACCGGCUAACUACGUGCCAGCAGCCGCGGUAAUACGUAGGGUGCAAGCGUUAAUCGGAAUUACUGGGCGUAAAGCGUGCGCAGGCGGUUUGCUAAGACCGAUGUGAAAUCCCCGGACUCAACCUGGGAACUGCAUUGGUGACUGGCAGGCUAGAGUAUGGCAGAGGGGGGUAGAAUUCCACGUGUAGCAGUGAAAUGCGUAGAGAUGUGGAGGAAUACCGAUGGCGAAGGCAGCCCCCUGGGCCAAUACUGACGCUCAUGCACGAAAGCGUGGGGAGCAAACAGGAUUAGAUACCCUGGUAGUCCACGCCCUAAAACGAUGUCAACUAGUUGUUGGGGAUUCAUUUCCUUAGUAACGUAGCUAACGCGUGAAGUUGACCGCCUGGGGAGUACGGUCGCAAGAUUAAAACUUAAAGGAAUUGACGGGGUCAUAGCUGUUUCC